rnacentral:rRNA from 1 species
UGGGGAAUAUUGGACAAUGGGCGAAAGCCUGAUCCAGCAAUGCCGCGUGGGUGAAGAAGGUCUUCGGAUCGUAAAGCCCUUUCGACGGGGACGAUGAUGACGGUACCCGUAGAAGAAGCCCCGGCUAACUUCGUGCCAGCAGCCGCGGUAAUACGAAGGGGGCUAGCGUUGCUCGGAAUUACUGGGCGUAAAGGGCGCGUAGGCGGCGGCCCAAGUCAGGCGUGAAAUUCCUGGGCUCAACCUGGGGACUGCGCUUGAUACUGGGUUGCUUGAGGAUGGAAGAGGCUCGUGGAAUUCCCAGUGUAGAGGUGAAAUUCGUAGAUAUUGGGAAGAACACCGGUGGCGAAGGCGGCGAGCUGGUCCGUUACUGACGCUGAGGCGCGACAGCGUGGGGAGCAAACAGGAUUAGAUACCCUGGUAGUCCACGCCGUAAACGAUGUGCGCUGGAUGUUGGGGCCCAUAGGGUCUCAGUGUCGUAGCCAACGCGGUAAGCGCACCGCCUGGGGAGUACGGCCGCAAGGUUG